CUCGUGUUUCUGAAAAAAAAGGUUCAGUCUACCCUAACUUUACUUCUCUUAAGUUUAUAUAAUUCUGUCGGGUGUCCUCAACGUCUGGCAAUCGAGAGAAACCAAUCCAAAUUUGUCCGAUCUCUCCUUGUGGCUCAUACACUCUCCUCCAGGCAGCAUAAAUUUUAACGAUAACCCUUUUGCCAGAUGCCAUUAUAUUUUCUUUUGUGAUGUGGCACCUUUGUUGUUUGGGAAUGAAGUCAUGUUGACGGUGUAGUUGGAAUUGUAGAUCCAAUGCGCUGAGUUUAAGAAUGUGGAUAAAAAGGUAAUAGACCGAAGGUGUUAAUUCUUUCUCUCUCUCAGUAGAUGCUGCCUGUCUAUUUUUUGCAUAUUUCUGAGAAAGCAAAUUAGGCCAUAGUGUAAUGCGCCUUGUGUAAAAUUGGUACUUGCAAAAAGAGCAGCCUUUGCUCAAUAUUGCACUGGUGUGUCAACUUAGAUCAGAACUGGAAGCUUCAGAGUGGGGUUUUAAAGGCUUUGAAGAGGCAUGAUAUCUACUGCAUACAUGUAGGUAUUGGUUUUGUUGACUGCACUGGGAGGUAUUUCAAUCUGCUAUAUUUGUUAUCAGAGGAAGCCGAGGUUUUGCUAUUUCAAGAGGUCAAAGGGUAAUUUUAGUUGAGGCUUUAGAAAUAGAAUUCUUGGUAGCUAGAAUCGGAAGGAUCUAUCUCCUUUAGCAGAGAAGUGAGCUAGAGGAUAUGGUUACUAAUGCCAAGAAGAAUUAAAAGUGAAUUCUGAAAUGUAUUUUCACUUGCUUUGUGUAGGUUCAGGAAUUCACUGUCUAACAUGGUGAUGUAUUUAUUAUAUUUGAAGUAAGCUAUUCGACCCACCUGGACAAUGCCACAGAGCUAUUGAAUCAGUUCCAUUCCAUACCAGUUUAACAACAUCCUGUUCAACACAAACAAUGUGGGUUGAAGGGUCUAUUCCCGUGCUGUAGAAAUCUGCAUAAAUACAAUUUUCAAGUUUUGUACGUUUCUUAGAAGGAAAAUGCUUGCAUUUUAUUACGUGGAUUCCCUGAAAGAUCAGACCCAUCAAAGUACUUUUAAAAGUCCAAUAUUGUAGGAAUGGUCAGGUUCAGAUUACAUCCAGAAAGGUCCUAUAAUCAUAAAUAAGAUU